rnacentral:rRNA from 1 species
UAGGGAAUCUUCCGCAAUGGACGAAAGUCUGACGGAGCAACGCCGCGUGAGUGAAGAAGGAUUUCGGUUCGUAAAACUCUGUUGUUAGGGAAGAAAAAAUGUAUAGUAACUAUAUACAAAAGAGACGGUACCUAACCAGAAAGCCACGGCUAACUACGUGCCAGCAGCCGUGGUAAUAAGUAGGUGGCAAGCGUUGUCUGGAAUUAUUGGGCGUAAAGCGCGCGCAGGUGGUUUAGUAAGUCUGAUGUGAAAGCCCACGGCUCAACCGUGGAAGGUUAUUGGAAACUAAUAAACUUGAGUGCAGGAGAGAAAAGUGGAAUUCCUAGUGGAGCGGUGAAAUGCGUAGAUAUUAGGAUGAACACCGGUGGCGAAGGCGGCUUUUUGGCCUGCAACUGACACUGAGUCGCGAAAGCGUGGGGAGCAAACAGG